rnacentral:rRNA from 1 species
CCUACGGGUGGCAGCAGUGAGGAAUAUUGGUCAAUGGGCGCGAGCCUGAACCAGCCAAGUCGCGUGAGGGAAGACGGUCCUAUGGAUUGUAAACCUCUUUUGUCGGGGAGCAAAAGACGCCACGCGUGGCGUUCCGAGAGUACCCGAAGAAAAAGCAUCGGCUAACUCCGUGCCAGCAGCCGCGGUAAUACGGAGGGGGCGAGCGUUAUCCGGAAUUACUGGGUGUAAAGGGAGCGUAGACGGCGAGGUAAGCCUGAAGUGGAAGCCCGGGGCCCAACCGCGGAACUGCUUUGGGAACUGUUUUGCUGGAGUAUGGGAGGGGUAAGCGGAAUUCCUGGUGUAGCGGUGAAAUGCGUAGAUAUCAGGAGGAACACCGGUGGCGAAGGCGGCUUACUGGACCAUAACUGACGUUGAGGCUCGAAAGCGUGGGGAGCGAACAGGAUUAGAUACCCUAGUAGUC